CGGGUCAAACUCGCCUCGCAAAAUAAUUAGCGCAUGCUUAGUAUUACCGCCUGGUCAAACUCGUGACGUCACGAGUGACACUUCCCCUGUCAUCAUUUUCAAAAUGGAGGAGGCUGAUUUCAAUACCGGUAAUUUGAAAUCACAUAAAGGGAAGAAGAUUAAGAGCUAUUCAGUAGGAUUUAAGGUCCAAGCUUACAUCACACUCAAAUUUUUACUGCAUGCCUUUGGUAAGUGCCGGAGUGAGAAGAGGUUUUAAAUCAAUUAGCGCAUGCCUUUGGUAAGCGCAGGCGUGAGAAGAGGUUUUAAAUUAAUUAGCGCCUCGGCGGCAAUUCAAGGAAAUACAGUAUAUACAUAUAUUUUUAUUUAUUUAUCUGUUUAAACUCGGGACUACCCGCGGGCUGGAUUUCGGACGCUGGUGGGCUGUGUCUGUCCCGCCGGCCGUAGUUUGGGGACCACUGAGACCUUAACUGAACAAUAUAGUACGAAACAUUCGUCACUAUAAACAAGCAUCAAGUUGAAUAUUACUUACACAUACAAAGUCUACCAAGCAGAAGUGUUAGAAAGCAUCCAGUAACAAACGUGUCCGCAUCACUCACUGUCAUGAUCUUCACACAAUGAAUUAUUGUUGUCACAAGGUGUCACCAUAAAAACAAUAACCACUCCACUUCAAUUAAAGACGGCAUACGUCCAUUCCGGACGGGUAAUCAUAAAUAGGUUAUUGUUCCCUGUUAGAGUAAUUUUACUCUAAUAAGCCUUUUCUAAAACAUAAAAGUAUGUAUUUUUGUGCUGAUGUCGUGAGGAGCAAACUGCUUGGUCAGCAUUUAUAGUGUUGAUGUGUUUGUGGUAAACAACAGUGCCGCUGAAUGCAGCGUGACACUUCAAAUGCAGCUCAUUUGAAAAAUUACAGGUUUCCUCCAGCCCCAGCUGUUCAUGCCAGUGUUGUUUGACCCAACGCUACUUUGGUCAUUUUGUUGAACACACCGGUUAAUUCAAUAGAGGCGUUAAUUACAGCCUUUACUGUACAUACAGUAAAUCUGCCAAACACUUGUCUGUCUUAUCACGCUCAUUUUUUUGGGGAACCUUCAUGUAUGCAAUGCCAAAAAGUCCAGUUGUGUCUGUUAUUAUUUCCCUUCUGUUACACAGCAGAUAACUUUACCUGUUUACACACUUUGUUGUUAUUUACAGUCUUGUUUUCAAACCAUUCACUUGUUAUUCCUGUACUGAACUGUGAACAAUUGACCUUAAAUUAAAAAGGCUUCAAGGAAA